UACGUAGGCAGCAAGCGUUGUUCGGAAUUAUUGGGCGUAAAGAGCUCGUAGGCGGUUUGUCGCGUCUGCUGUGAAAUCCCGAGGCUCAACCUCGGGUCUGCAGUCGAUACGAGCAAACUAGAGUGUUGCAGGGGAGACUGGAAUUCCUGGUGUAGCGGUGAAAAUGCGCAGAUAUCAGGAGGAACACCGGUGGCGAAGGCGGGUCUCUGGGCAACAACUGACGCUGAGGAGCGAAAGCGUGGGAGCGAACAGG
rnacentral:rRNA from 1 species